rnacentral:tRNA from 1 species
UGGGCUUUAGCUCAGUGGUAGAGCGACUGCCUAACAAGCACAAGGCCUUAGUUCAAUCCUUAGCCCAA